AACACAUUCCUCUCCACUCAUUGGAAUGGGACUGGCACUGGGCUUGUGUGUUAUCUGGAAUAUCACACUGUGCUGCUUUUGUGUGCGAUGGAGAAAUGGUUACGAACACUGUAGAGGUAAUAAAUCUCACCAGGAUCUCACAAUCACAGAGGGAAUACAAUUCCAGGAACCUGGUGAUGAUGUAGAGCUGAAUUAUGCUGCUUUGAACUUCGCUGAGAAAAAAUCUAAAAGAAAAAGGAAGAAGAAAAGCGGACGUCCUCAGAAUAGUGUAUACUCUGAAGUGAGCUACACCAGUCAGACAUGAAUCCACACUCACUGUGUUUAAAAAUAAUGGAGCUGAUGUGAUUGGUUACUGAACCAGCAAAUCAUUAUCACAUUUAUUUCAUCAAUAAGCUGAAUCUUUUAAUUAAUACAAUAUUUUCAGGUAACAUUUUUCAAUAAUGGUCCAUCUAUAAACAGUACUUACAACAGAACGUCUCAAC